rnacentral:snRNA from 1 species
UAAAGAAAUAGUUAAUGA